AACGAACGCUGGCGGCAGGCUUAACACAUGCAAGUCGAACGCUCGUAGCAAUACGGGAGUGGCGGACGGGUGAGUAACGCGUGGGAACGUGCCCUGAGGUACGGAAUAACUGAGGGAAACUUCAGCUAAUACCGUAUGAGCCCCGAGAGGGGGAAAGAUUUAUCGCCUUGGGAGCGGCCCGCGUCGGAUUAGCUAGUUGGUGGGGUAACGGCCUACCAAGGCUUCGAUCCGUAGCUGGUCUGAGAGGACGAUCAGCCACACUGGGACUGAGACACGGCCCAGACUCCUACGGGAGGCAGCAGUGGGGAAUCUUGCGCAAUGGGGCAACCCUGACGCAGCCAUGCCGCGUGAACGAUGAAGGCCUUAGGGUUGUAAAGUUCUUUUACCCGUGACGAUGAUGACGGUAACGGGGAAUAAGCUCCGGCUAACUUCGUG
rnacentral:rRNA from 1 species